rnacentral:misc_RNA from 1 species
UUUGCAGGUUGACAAUUGACAUAAUGUUUUCGAUUUGUUUUUUAAACAAAAAAUACAGCUUAACACUGAAACAUGUGUGAAAUCUUAAAUAAAACUUGUAAAACAUGCUUCAGUACUGGAAGGACAACAAGUUCGAUUACAGAUUUGAACAUUCUACUUACUACACUUAAUAUACGGGAGAUAGAUACAUCUAAUGGUGAAAUUUGUUGGGAAUGCAAAGCAGUUGUGUUCAAGUUCUACGAUUUUAAGCAAAAAGCAAUUAGGCUACAGAAUUUACUGGCUGCAUCAAACCAGAAUAAACUUAAAACAUUCAGCUCACUAACAUGCAAAACAAAGAAUAUAUAUGAUUUUGAAUAUAAUUAUGAAGAUGAAGUCAAAGUUGAAUCAAUAAAAAUAGAGCUUUUAAGUUCUGAAAUCAAUUUCAAAGAUGAAAAUACAGAUUUUAAAACUACUUAUGAUAUAAGUGAUAAUAUAGAUAAAACAAAUCAUAAAAAGAAAAAUCAGAUAAUAAAUAAAGCUAAGUCAAUUAAAGAAAGGAUUCUAAAUUCAAAAAUAAUAGAUAAAAUAGAAAACAAAGAUUUAAAAAAUGGAAUCGAGGACAAGCUUAUAGAUGAGAAAGAAUUAAGAAAUAAGUUUAAAACGAUAAUUUAUACAGAAGAGGAGUUAUUGUUGAAUAGAGAAGAGAAGAGAAACCAUCCAAAUUUCAAGAAGAUACCAUUCAAAUGUGAUACAUGUGUACUUGGGUUUAUUAAAAAGGAUUCUCUUGAUUUACAUGUGGAAAAAUACCAUAGACAGACCAUAGGGGCGUAUGAAUGUAAAAUAUGUGAAAAGCGUUUCGCCACUCAGCAUAACUUGCACAAACACACCAAGAACCACUAUGUAUCACAUCGCUGUUUAUUCUGUAGAUAUGAGACUGUCUCUCAGCAUGCUGCAAUCAUACACUGUAGAGAUAAACACUUUGAGGAUGAAGCUGGUAGAGUGCGUUGUAGCCAGUGUGACAGUGUAUUCACGUCUGUAGAGGAAUUAGAAAUACACAUGUCAAAGCAUACAAUAUCUUGUCAGGAAUGCGGGAGAUACUUCAAGGGGAAGCACACCCUUAGAAUGCAUAUAAGACGCAUCCACAACGCCCAUAGACAAUACAUAUGUGACAGCUGUCAAAGGACAUUCAACACGAAAAGCCGGCUCGAGUCGCACAUGGCAACACACAGUGUCGCUCUCGCUGAAAAGCUGUCAUAUUGCGGCAUUUGUAAAGUUCAAUAUAAAAACAUAUACGUGUAUAGAAAUCAUUUGAAGAACAGCGUCAAUCAUUCAGAGAGAGCUUAUUCAUAUCCGAGUGGCGUUUAGUGAACCAUAGACAAAAGCAUCACGGACUAGCGAGGACCAGAGACCACAUUUGUAACAUCUGUGGCAAGAGGUUUUAUACGUCAUCUACGCUCCGUUCGCACCAGCUCACACACUCCGAAGUGAGGAGCUUCAUGUGUGAGGACUGCGGGCACACAUUCAAACAGCGGCCUGCGUUGUAUACACAUUAUCGUCUCGUACAUAGAGGCAUUAAACGGAA